CCCUCCGUUAGUGCAGGUUGGAACCAGGCCCAUCGCUUUAUUCCUCUGUGCAGUGGCUACAUGGACAGUGGCAGGUGGGACUGUUGGCCACUUGUCCACAGCCUCUGUCCUGCGCCUCUGGUUUUGACAGGACCGAGUUUAGGGCUGUUGCCAUCUCUGCUCCCUUCAUUGAGAUCGCCACUUGAUGGUCCCUCUCCUGUGCCCGCCCAGAUUCCAGGCUUGGGGCUGUUAUGACCCAGAGGCACUGGGAUCCCCACCCCCCAGCACUGGGCUUCCUGGCCUGGGAAGACUGGAGUUCAGCACCUUCGCCACCAGGUGGCAGCAGUGGGGAGCGCUAAGGAAACCCUGGAAGGCUUGCCUCAGCAGAGCUCUGGCUUUGAACUUGUCUCCACCUUGGUCCUCAGCCUUGGAAGGACCACCCAGCUUGCUCACACGUGUGACCCCUUUUGGGGCGGCAGGUUCUGCUCCUGCUCAGCUAUGAGAUCUUAAGCAACUGCCAAGAGGCAGGGCUGAGGACCAAGACCAGGGCCACCUGGUGCUAACGCGUUUCUCAUCUCAGGAGCUGCUGUGGCUUCUGUCCACCUGAGCGACCAGUGAGACUAAUCAGUAUUUGCAGUCGGCCAGGGAGCGGGGGCGGAGGGGGUGGCAGGAGGGAAGAAGCGUGCUCCGCGCAGCAAGAGAUCUUAGCCUGUUAGGGUUUGCUGAGACACCUGCACAUGAGGCGUGUCUGGACGGAGCCCAGGAUACUCUCUGGUGUCCAGCUCUGGCCCCACUGUCCUGUCUGGGAGGAACUGAGGGUGCGUGGCUAUGAGGGCAAGCCCAGAACUGGCAGGUGCUGAGCGCCUACUGUGUGCCUGACGGUGGAGAAUUCUGUGCCUGUUGUGCGGCUUCUGUUAGGCCCCUGAAGGCUCUCAUUCCAUGUCCGUGUCAGUGCACGUGAGCUACAUGGGAACAGUGCGGACUUGGCUGAGUUCUGGGUUCAGACCCACGCGGCUGCUGAGUAGUUGGGUGUUGUUGGCCAGUUCGGUUUUCUGCAUCGGUUUUCUCAUCUGUGAGGUUUCAUAACCUGUUUCUCAUGGGGACGUAGAAUGCAGGCCCCCCCACGGGAGGUUAUGUGGAUUAAAGCUCCCGGCACCACAUGUGGGACACUGGUGCUGAGCCACUGGGGUCUUGUCCAUGACUAGGCGGGUGUCCUAUUCUUGUCUCAUAGGGACCCCUCAGGAGCUGUUAUCCUAGGUCAGAGGUGUUGAGGCUUCUGCAGUGGGAAUGGUCCUGUUUGCUGAGCAGCACAAGACCGGGGAUGAAAGGGAAGUGGUGAGGAAGGGGAGCGCGAGAGGAGGGGGAAGGUGUCUGCCGUUGGGAGCUGCAGAGGUCUGAGGAGCCCCGUGUCUGUCCAAGGUGAUGGCCUGGGGCCUGGUGCAGACCCCGUGUCACGGCACCAGCUCGACCUCCCGGCCCAGAAGAGACUCCCCGGAGGAGACGCGGCCUGGGCCCUGCGGCCAGCUCCGCCCCGCGGGACAGUGACUGCGUGGCGAACCCCAAGGUGAACCCUGGGGGGCCGGAGGAAAAUCACCGUUUUCACCUGAAGCAAAGGUAAAUGGCUGAGUCGUGUAUGGACAAGAGGCGGCGGAGUGGACACUCCUGGGUUGGGGACAGACACAGAAUCCAGGGGGACCGAGGAAGUGAAGUGUCCAUGGUCUCAAGGUGCAUGACACCAGCGUCAGGGCCCAGGGCCGGGUCUUGGCCACGUGACUGAGGAAGGAGUCAGCUGUGCAGCUCGAGGACCAGGGACAGUGAAGUCAUUACCAGGAGGCAGGCCGGCGGGCUUUCUGUGGAGGAAGAGCUGGUAACAGUGAGUGCCUGGAGGCUGAACACCUGCUUGCCGGGCCUGCAGAAGCCACAGACGCGGGGGACGUGGCUGGACCCCCGGAAGGAUUCGUAGCACAGACGCACUCGCCUGCAGGCCAGAGGGGCACCAUUUUGCUCCGCAUUAUUUUAGGACCCGACACACAGAGCUGUUCAUUUCCCCCAGGAAGCUGCUCCUGAGCAGUAGGAACAGCUUAGGAACUCCAGGCCACUUGCUGUUCCUUUUGACACCACCGUUUUGCAAUGUCACCAAUCAGGCCAGUCGGCCCCUCCCGGGGCAGGGACCCUCCUGGGGCCCGGGCAGGCAGGGCCACCCCAGGGCAGUGGGAGGAGCCGCUGGCGUGGGCGCAGGGGUCCAGCUGUGGACCUGCGGAGGGGAGUCCUGGGCUGUGUUCUGGCGAUGGAACCCUGGAUGCAAACGUGGUUAAAAACCAACCUUCAAACAAAGCAAGGACAGGCUAGUCCGGAAACACGUUUCACUUGAAAUGUUUGUUUUGUUUUUUUAAAACAAGACAAUGUUUAGGGUUAUUAUAAAUCAGUAUUUAUAAACAAGUGAAAGUGCAUUUAGCAUAGCUGUGUUCACCUGAUGAAAUGGUUUUGGCACAUGUACAGAUGUGGAAAUUGUGAAUUUGUACUUGGACUUGUGGACUGUGGGUUUUGGGUGUUCCCCCUUUACCCCAUAUCCCCGUUUCCCACAGCCCCUUUCCUUUCUCCCUUCCCCCAUCCCAAGGGCUAAAAAGAGGACGGAGACUGAGCAGGAAGGAUCAACUAUUGCAGAAUUAGGGGGGCGGGGGGUGUGAUCCAUACCAGUCACCUGGGUACAUCCGUCCACUUGUUUUCAAAAUACCAAGACAGUGAGAUUCAUGGAAUAUUGUCCAAUACAGAACAAAUACUCCUAACCCAGACUUUAUAGGGGCCCUCCACAUGUUCAUCCCAUAACCAAGCUCAAGGGGGUGUGGUGAUCAUCAGUGACUCAAAACCACCUCAGGGCAUAAAACCCAGCACCUCCACCUGAGCCCUCACUGGCCACAACUGAAGGCAGUUCCUUUUGCUGAGUGUGUGGGUGAGCUCCGGGUCCAGCUGCCUAACGUCCUGCCCCCAGCAUGCAUUGCGCCAUGGCCGGGACCUAUUAACUCUGCCCGGAACAUGUCCUCUUUCUGCCCCUGGACUGUGGUCUGGUCCGCCCUGUGCCUAUGUAACACACCAAACUCUACAAAAUCACCUCAAGUAGGAGAACUAAUUCCUUUGACAAAUACCAUUAAAAAAUAAUAGCCCAGCCAUUGUGGCUCAGUGGUUGAGUGUCGACCUAUGAACCAGGAGGUCAUGGUUCGAUUCCCACUCAAGGCACAUGCCCAAGGUUGUGAGCUCGAUCCCCAGUAGGAGGUGUGCAGGAGGCAGCCAAUCAAUGAUGUUCCUCUCAUUGAUGUUCCUCUAUCCCUCGCCCUUCUCUAAAAAUCAAUGAAAAAAUCACUUAAAAAAUCACAGCUUUAUAGCAGUUUUGGGUUCUGAGCAAAACUGAGCAGAAAGGUCAGGCCCCAUAUACUUCUGCCCCCCCCCCUCCCCCCCGUCCCAUCCUGCCCAGAGGGUACACAGACCAUUUUGAUUUUCGGUUGCUUUUCCUGCCAGUUACUCCUGAACCAAUGGAGUCCUCCAGUAGCCUCUGUCCUGCCAGCUUUCCAACACUCUAAGAAUCCCUGCUUCUGCUUCAUUUCAGUGAGAAAUGAUGUCCUGGACGUGCUGACAGUAGCGUUUUCAGUUGCUCUGUAAAGCCCCUCAUCCUCCGGGUGUCAUGGGGCCUAGCUCAGCCCCUGGGACAUGGGUGUGCACAUCCUAUCACCUCCACUUCACGGGAGAUGGAGCAGGAGCCCAGACAAGUCAGGUGGCCCCAGGUCACACAGCUAAUUGGGAACCAGACACUAAGAUCCUGGCACUUUCCAGAAGUCAUCUGUAGCCAAGGCAGCUGCCCUGUUUGGCCAAAACUCUAAUUCCUUCCCUUCACCCACUUACCUCGUUCUCUAACGUGGAGACGCGGGUGCAUCCAGGGCAAGGGCCGGGUGUGCAAGUCCCGCUCCAGUGACUGAGCCAACUGAAGGGGCUUUUCUUCUCUCCACAAGCCAACCUGCCGUCGCAGCAGGGCGCCGGGUGUGCAGCCACCUGGGGAGGGCGGCCCCCGUCUCCACGCUGGAGAGGGAUGCUCUGCUUGGCUACACCUCUGAGCCUCGUGGGCCAGCCGAAGAACAGGAUGACAAUUUAAAAGUGGGCCGGGAGGGUGACUGAAGGGUUAAGUCUACAGGAACAGAUUCAGGUCAUAACCUGUAAGAUACAGGCCGGGGAGUUGAUGGCUGGAGUGGAGGUGGACACUGGAGUUAAGGAAGGCCAGGAUGUAGAAGACAGGAUGGUCACAGCUUUCAGCUGAAAUCUAGCUGCAGUCAGGAGGACCGGACGCCAGGGCCCCCAGAACUAGCCUGUGCUCCUACAGCAUGGGAACCCCGGACACCCUGACUCCUGUCUGUGGGUAACACGGUCUCAGUGACCAUUAAGAUGAGGACUGGUGGUGAAGAUGAAGUACUUUGGAAUGAGACAUGAAUAAUUCUCUUCUCUGUGAUUCUAUCACACACAAGUCAAAACAGAAAAGAUGAUUACAACUAGAGAAGACUAGAGAAGCAGUCUUACGUGACAGGAAAGACUGGAAAAUAGGGGCCAGGGUAACAAGGCAUCAAAUACAAUGUCAAAUUCAGGAGAUCUUACACAACCAGCUUCUUUAAUUAGAAAGCAACAAACAUGCAAAUGGCAAGUGUAGAAAUUUAUUUGAACCAACAUUGUCUCUACCAUGAGAACUGCUCUUCAACGUUGAUCCAAGCUCCCCCGUGUGGAGACUGGCAGUAUUGCACUUUCGUUGCUAGCACGCCUCAUACAUGGCAACUAGGGUUUAUAACAUUCUGCUAGUUUUAUUUCACACACUCUCCCAAGUUCAUGCACACAAUCACUCCACACCAAUGUCAGGUUAUCCCCCGCAAAAGGGAAAACUCCAAAAACCAUAACCUUAAAAUUGCACUGAAGCUCUGUAAAGAAAAAAAUAUAAGUGUCUUAUACAAAUAUCAAAACAUCCCAAGUGCUGGCCACUCAGAGUUGAUUAUUCCUCAUCCUCGGUUUCAUUCUCCUGACCGGAGCCUUCUGAUCGGUCACCCUCCAACCGGUCUGGAAAACAGAUAUGAGACUCACUAAAAGAAAUACUUUUAGGGUUAUGAUUAAGAUAAUCUUCAAUGCCUUUUAUUUAAAGCUGCUUAAAAUGUAUAGAACUCAACACACCAUUAUGUAAAAUUCAGUUCACCACUGUGUACAUACCUAAUUUUUGCCUCUACUGGGAAAUUUUAUAAAAUAAAGGAAACAACACUAUUAACUUUGAAAAUGGAUGUCAUUGUAAACACACAUUUUUUAAAGCCCUACAGAUGACUUUACCAUGUAUCAGUGGUGUGGCUGGGUAAGUCAUUACAGAAAGCCUGCUGAGAAGGGCUGGAGCUCCAUGAGGGUGGUCACUGUUGUCAUGAACUGACAGGUGAUGCUCAGCAUAUGGGACAUUUCACUCAUGAGGUCAGUGAACAGUGACGAACACUUGUUUGGUGAAUAUAUGGAUACUAUAAUGGAUACUGGAACUUUUUCUUGUUAUGAACACAGCCUUUGAAUUCCUUCCUGAAUAGUAGUUAUAAUAUAUGCAUUUCGUGUUAUCUGUGA